rnacentral:rRNA from 1 species
CAUACCAUGCUGAAUAUAUCGGUUCUCGUUAGAUCACCGAAGUCAAGCAUCAUUGGGCGCGGUCAGUACUUGGGAAGGUGACCACCUGGGAACCCCGCGUGCCGUU